UACGUAGGGACCAAGCGUUGUUCGGAUUUACUGGGCGUAAAGGGCGCGUAGGCGGCGAAUCAAGUCAGUUGUGAAAUCUCCGAGCUUAACUCGGAACGGUCAACUGAUACUGUUUUGCUAGAGUACAGAAGGGGCAACCGGAAUUCUUGGUGUAGCGGUGAAAUGCGCAGAUAUCAGGAAGAACACCCGUGGCGAAGGCGGCUCUCUGGGACGGUACUGACGCUGAGACGCGAAAGCGUGGGGAGCGAACAGG
rnacentral:rRNA from 1 species